CUGUAGACUCUCUAGUCCUCAUGUGAACAGGGAUGCAUUGUGACACAGAGAUCACUCCAAAGAAGGAGUAGCUGUGACAACCUCAAGUAUGUCUGGGAGCAGUGUGAAUUUUUUUUCUUGUUUUCAAGGGAUGCUAAGACAUCUGAAGGAAUUCUUUUGCCCAGGUGUUGCAGAGGGCCAUGUGCCCUAAUGCCUUCAAUUGCAUGGGUGAUGGGCACUUGUUGGAGGACCAUCACAGUGAGGGGGACCCCUUCACUGCAGAAUCACUGACCUAAUUCUUGUUGGACCAGACUGCAGCCCAUUAGAAGGAAUGGUCUUCAUCUAAACCUGCACC